CAGGCCUAACACAUGCAAGUCGAACGAGAAAGUGGAGCAAUCCAUGAGUAAAGUGGCGCACGGGUGAGUAACACGUGACUAACCUACCCUUGAGUGGGGAAUAACCUAGGGAAACCUGGGCUAAUACCGCAUAACACCUACGGGUCAAAGGAGCAAUUCGCUGAAAGAGGGGGUCGCGGCCGAUUAGCUAGUUGGCGGGGUAACGGCCCACCAAGGCAAUGAUCGGUAGCCGGCCUGAGAGGGCGCACGGCCACACUGGAACUGAAACACGGUCCAGACUCCUACGGGAGGCAGCAGUGGGGAAUUUUGCGCAAUGGGGGAAACCCUGACGCAGCAACGCCGCGUGGAGGAUGAAGCCCCUUGGGGUGUAAACUCCUUUCGAUCGGGACGAUUAUGACGGUACCGGAUGAAGAAGCACCGGCUAACUCUGUGCCAGCAGCCGCGGUAAUACA
rnacentral:rRNA from 1 species